UGUUCUCCAGCAGUAGUCUCUCCCCGGCUUGGUUGUUCAGUUGUUCAGAAGAUUUAUGGUUAGUGGGCUGAUGUCCCCGUAUCCCGUAUUUCUCCCUAGAGGAGUUGCCAGUGCAGUCAGAGCAGAGUGUUUGUUGAAGACUCAGUUUCUUCACCAGCAGUGAUCUCUCCGCAACAUGGCUAAUUUCUUUUGAAGAUUCAGUGGUUGAGUGGGUUGAUCCCGGUAUUUCAUCCAUAUUUCC
rnacentral:lncRNA from 1 species